AGCUGCUUAACGUGUACGGUGUCGCCAAAUUCUUGCAAUGGGUGGAAAGGGGAUGUUGAAAAAUGUGGCCACGAGGAAAGCGCUUGAGCAGAGACAGCAAUCCGCGAGCCAAGAACGCAACGCGGCGCAGGCGGGACCGAGUGAUCCUCCAGGAAAUCCGGAACGAGCGCCCGAUCCACCUCCAAACUGCUAGAGCUCACUUCAGCGACUCUGCCUCCUUCCUUCUCGCCGUCACCACCCACCGCCACCCCCUCCGCCUCCCUCCUUCCUUCCUCAGUCUCUUUGCCUUCUUUCAUACACCCUCAAGUUCCCCAAACUCAUUCCUUGCAGGGAUUUCACUGAUCUCAUGCUUUUUCCUCUUCUUGCCUUUUUUUGGUUAAAAAAUAUUCUACUACAGAAUGAAUAAAUAAGAGGUAAGUGUAAAAAAGAGGGAGAAAUAUAUCCUGUAUGGUCAUAAAUUACAACAGUUACAACACGGAUAUUAAAUCUGAAUUUGUUACAUGCGGGAAGACAGGAACACACUGGGAAACGUUUAAUCGGUGAAACAAAAUUGGACCGAACAGUCAUUUUAGGUCGUUAUGUAAAUGAGUGGUAUUAAUUAGUCAUAUGACCAUACAUAGUUUUAUAGGAUAUAAGAGAAAGAAAAUUUGGCAUUACCAAUUUGCUCGUGAGUGAUGAAUGAGGUGGGCGGGUUGAACUAUUGUGGUAUAAGAGGUCGUAAAUUAAUAAUUACAACACGGAUAUUAAAUCUCAAUUUGUUACAUGUGAAAAUACAGGAACAUACGAACAUGAUCUCUUGCUUUUUCCCGUAACAAAGUUUUUUCACUGGCACAUUUUUCUAGUUAGAUUUCACACUUCAUGGAUAGAAGUUUACUUGUUAAACACGAGAUCUUUCUUAAGCACUUCCAAAGUUUCUUGGCCUUUUUUUUUUUUUCAAACACCCCCAACUUCCCUAAUCUCAUGGCGUUUCAUGUCCGGGGAAAAGAUGCUCCAUCUGCCUCGACCCCGUAGACACCAGGCAGUGCGGAGUCGCUGCGCUCUACCAAUCCUUUAUGACAGAGACGACUGCAGCCGCUCUAGGUCCUCGCCAAUACUUGGUGAGGCUGACAGGGUAUCCUUGGGUCACCCCUUGUUCCUGGAAAGAAGACCUUGGGAGAGUUAAGCUGCGUCGCCACUGACAUCGAACUAAAGGGGGGAGGAGGAGGAAGGAGGAGCAAGAGUGCCCUUGGGUCCCCCAGCUCCAGGAAGGAAGACCUUGGGAGAGUUAAGCCGCGUCGCCACUGACAUCGAAUAGAGCCGCGUCGCCACUGACAUCGAACAGAGCCGCGUCGCCACUGACAUCGAACAGAGCCGCGUCGCCACUGACAUCGAACAGAGCCGCGUCGCCACUGACAUCGAACAGAGCCGCGUCGCCACUGACAUCGAACAGAGCCGCGUCGCCACUGACAUCGAACUGAAGGCAGGAGGAGGAGGAAGAAGGAACGCGAGUGUCGGAGCCCCUUAUCCACGGCAGCGAGCGUAGUCCACCUGGCGUCAGCGGGAGGAAACUGCUGCAGAGUGCAAGUGUUUGGAGGGAGACGCGUUCGUGUUUAUACUGUUACAAACGUUAGAAGUGUUUAACAAGUAAACCUCUAUCCAUAUCCGUAUCAAACGAAGAAGUGUUGAAUCUAACUAGAAAAAUGUGCGAGUGAAAAACUUUGUUACAGGAAAAAGCAGAUUAUGUUCGUAUGUUCCUGUAUUCCCACAUGUAACAAAUUCGGAUGCAAUGUCCGUGCUGUAAUGAUUAAUUUACGACCAUACCAUAUAGUUCUCCCUCCCUAUUACA